UGGGGAAUAUUGGACAAUGGGCGGAAGCCUGAUCCAGCCAUGCCGCGUGUGUGAAGAAGGCCUUUUGGUUGUAAAGCACUUUAAGCGAGGAGGAGGCUACUUGGAUUAAUACUCUAGGAUAGUGGACGUUACUCGCAGAAUAAGCACCGGCUAACUCUGUGCCAGCAGCCGCGGUAAUACAGAGGGUGCGAGCGUUAAUCGGAUUUACUGGGCGUAAAGCGUGCGUAGGCGGCUUCUUAAGUCGGAUGUGAAAUCCCUGAGCUUAACUUAGGAAUUGCAGUCGAUACUGGGAAGCUAGGGUAUGGGAGAGGAUGGUAGAAUUCCAGGUGUAGCGGUGAAAUGCGUAAAGGUCUAGAGGAAGACCGAUGGCGAAGGCAGCCAUCUGGCCUAAUACUGGCGCUGAAGUACGAAAGCAUGGGGAGCAAACAGG
rnacentral:rRNA from 1 species